AAAGGGAACAGUCCUCAUAGCUCAUAAUCACAAAGGGUGCAUAAGAGCCUCUGUCCUAUGAGUGCCCACAUAUCAUGAGUUCAUGACUUCUAAUUGCCACAGGAAUAGAGUUCUCUGGACAGUCUGGAUGAUGUGCUCACUCCUGGUAAAGCGGAGUUGCCUCCAUUAGGACCACGUGAAGUAGGAUCUGCAAAGAAGAAAGUAGUUGUGUUCCUAGAAUAUGGAGGAAUUCUGGGGAGGUAAAAAACUGGUCGAUGUCAAGAAACAAUGACUGUUUUCAGAAUUAUUUUCUGCUGUCCUCUUUGGGAGGAUUUGCAUUGCCAGACCAGUUGUCUACUAAAGCUAGAUCAUGACAAAUCCUUGACCUCCGGAUAUACACAAAUGCUUAAAAUUCUGUUGGUAAGAGUAGAAGACAGGCAUCCACUCCAUCCAGAGUGGACAUCAAGUAGUCAAGCUGUAAGGUAAGAAGAGUGGUGGAAAAAGAACUCUAAACAAUAUAAUAAUAGUCUAGGGAUGUGGGGAGUAGGUUGAGGAAUAUAGAUGAAAUAAAAAUGUAGAAAGUCGAUCAUUGUUGGAGCUGAAUAAUAAGCACAUGAGAGUUUAUUAUACUAUCCCAUUUUGUUUGCAUAUGUUUGAAUUUUUCCUUCUUACAAGGUAAAUUUUUUUAAAUGGUGGAGAUUGGCAGUGAGUGAUGGCAGAAUGCAUCCUUUUUAAAAUGACAAAUGGAAAUUACUGUUUUAGGUUUCAAGAUGUCAUUCUUCUCAAACUCCUGAAAUAGCAUUACACUAUGGGCUUGGUAUGGAAAUCAGAUGAGAAUCUGUCUUAAACCCAUCCAUCAUAUCCCAUAAUUAACCAAUUACCUGAGUCAAAGGCUAAGGUUAAAAAAUGCAAGUAAUCUUAUAAUUGCCUCAGCAGAUUUUUUUAGAAAGGCAAUAAUAUAUGUUAGUUGCCAUAAUGGAAAUGCCAUGCAUCAGACCUGUCUGCUCCUUGGCUAUGAUUUUGACCUAAGGAUUCCAGAAUUGUAUUCUAUUAAAGAAAACAUUUCUUUUAAAGUGGAUUUGUGUUACAUUAUUGAGUUUACUAUCUUGAGAACACCACAUAUUUCCUUAUUCAAAAAUGAGAUAGACUGUACUUUGAGUUCCACCCAUACGGUUGAAAGGAGAGAGAAAAAAGAAAAGACAGAAGAGUGGGGACCUGGUACCCACUCUUCCAUAGCAGUACCUGUUGUAGUUCUGGAGCUGAAAGAAUCUUCCCAAGGAACUUUAUUUAGCUUAAGCCUUAUAUUUCACUCCAACAUAUGUGUGAGAAAUAGCCAGAUCUAGGGAAAAAACCCUCUAUAAAUUCCAUGGCUCUUGACCUUGGUUUAUAGAUAAUAAAACAUGUUUCUGGCAUGUCAACCAGGAAUAAUCUAAGCCUCUAUCUGGCUUUAUUCACCAGAUUUAUUUUUAUUUUUAAAAUUAUUUUAUUUUUUAUUAUUAAAGUAUAGUCGAUUUACAUGCUUAGUCACCAACUUUAUAACUUAUAUAUCCACAUUUUUUCUUUCUUUUUUUAAAAACUAUAUCCAGUGGUCAAAUAUGGGUCCUCUGAGUUGAGUUUAUUAUUUUUGUUAUACUGAAAAGGAUUUAGGUAGGACAUAAGAGGAUUAAUAUUAUAUUUCAGUUUUAUUAAGUUUAGGAGUUUUUUCUUAGGAUUUUCAUUUUGCAUGUCAUCUCACUAGCUUGGCUCUGAUGUAUAAAUAUGUGUGUGUGUGUGUGUGUGUGUGUGUGUGUGUGUAUGUGUGUGUGUUAUGAGUGUGUAUAGUCUACAAAGAGAAAUAUGAACAUACCCAUAUAGUAGGGUCAUGCUCAGCAUAUUAUAAACAUUUUAUCUCUUUUAUUUGAAACGUUUUCCCUCUCAAUGAAUAUUUCUGUCGAUCUGUAUCAUUUGUCUUACCGGCCCCACUGCUGGUUACAAACUCAAGGAAAAAAGAGGAUCAGUAAAUGUCCUCUGAGGGCAGAGUCUCAGCCAGAUGGCUGACCUUCAUGUUCAUCUUUAAUUCCGCCAUAUUGAUUAGAAGCACUACCUUAGAGGAAGAGGAUCUGAGCCUUUUGUCACUCACUGUCUUGUUUCCUUUGUCCUUUGUUUCAGCUUGGUAAUUGAUAUGGUUGGUAUACCCAGAGGAACUUUUGAGCACUGGGCACAGAUUUUCACAUCCAAAAAUAAACAAAUAAAGAGGUUCCAGCCAAUUCCACUGAGUGGGGAUGCUCAGUACAGUCAAGUGGGAUGUAGCCACACAACAGGAAUGUGUUAAGUUGAUAAAUGUGCUCCUGCAUUGAUGCCUUUGCUUCUGUGCUGCAUUUGGCAGCAAAUACAAACCCUUCCUAACUUAGCAAUUUCAGUUCCUUCCAUUAAACUCCCCAUGUUCAUCUCUUUUGUUUUUCUGACCAUCUGUGCUCAAAGUCUUCUACCAUAAAAUUCACAAAUAUUUUUGCUAAGCUGAACAAAUCAGUUUUUCCAUAAAUCAAAGAAAGAGGUCCUUUUCAAAUCCCCCAAAUUCUGUAAAAUAAGAAUAGAGUACUUAGUUUUUGUGUCCCUUUGGACCUAGAUGUAGCAAAUGAGUCAAAGCAAAAUGUUUUUGGAACAUCAUUGUUUCUUACCAGUUAUAUAGAUAUAUGGUUCUUUCUUGAGUUAUUUAAAACUCAAGAAAUUAUGGUUCAUUUUGUUGCUUAAAGGGAUUUGAGGUUCAUAAUUGCACCACAUAGCCAGUAGUCUAAGUCUCUAAUGCAAAAUAUUACACACUAUAAACAUUCAAAAACAAGUUGAAUGAAUGAAUUAAUAAAUGAACAUUGUAUAUGUCACUGAAUUAUACCUAUUAAAAAAUGCUUAACACUGACCUAGUAUAUCUUAGGCAUCUGAUGAAUAUGAGGUGAUAUUAACAUGCAUAUGUGAACAACUAGAUAAAAUAGAUUUUAUUUCAAUAAUGUUAUUCAUAUAUGUAUUGACUAAACAACUAUUUGUUGAGGAUUCACUCUUUGCCAAGAACAGUGCUAAUACUUGGUGAAAUAGAGAUGUAGUCCCUGAUGUUGCAGAGUUUCAUGCUGUGGGAAUAGUAGACAUUAACACAAUAUUUGCAUUUAGGAUCAUGUGAUGGGGAACAUACUUUGAGAAAGAAACCAUUUUGUGUGAGAGAGUAUGACAAAGAAAUUCUAAUGCUAGAUGUGGACAAAGGCUCAGGAAAGUCUUUCCUACAGAAGCAGUGUUUAAUCUGAGUCCUAAUGGAUAAGCAGGAAAGAUAGUUGGAAAUAAGGUGUCACUGAUGUAGUAUUCUUGACAAAAUGUUUAACCCAAAUCUAAUCUUGAGUGAGAAAACAAUUAAAUCCAUACCGUGCGAAGUUCUCCAAAAUAGAAUGUUGGUGGGGAAAGUGUGGGAGACUUAUGGCUAAGAUAAAAUGGAGUUUCAUAUUAUAACCAGUUGUAUUAGCUAUCUUUUGCUGUGUAAAAAAUUAUUCCAAACCUAGCUGCUUAAAACUAUAAUAAACAUUAAUUAUUAUUUAUUAUCUUAUAGAGUUAUGAGAGUCAAGAAUUCAGGACCAAGCUAGGUGUGCGGUUCUGGCUCCAGUCUCUUUUUCUGUGAGUUUUUUUUUUUUUUUUAAGUAUAAUUGACCUGAAGCAAUAUGUCAUUUCCUGUUAUACAACACAAUAAUUUGAUAUUUCUAUACAUUUCAUAAAGAUCUCUAUUAUAAAUCUAGUUAUAAUCUGCCAUCAAAUGAAGAUAUCACAUAAUUAUUGACUAUAUUCCCAACACUGUGCAUUUUGUACCCAUGACUCAUUUAUUGUGCAACUGGGAAUUUGUACCUCUUAAUCUCCCUCACCUAUUUCUCUUGUCUUCCCACCUCCCUUCUCUGUGGCAACCGUCUAUUUGUUCUCUGUAUCUGUGACUGUUUCUGUUUGUUCAUUUGUUUUUUUUUUUAGAUUCCAUAUUUAAAUUGAAAUCAUACAGUAUUUUUCUUUCUCUAUGACAUUUCAUCAACAUAAUACCCUCUAAAUCCAUUACAAUUGUAUCAAAAAGAAUAAAAUACCUAGGAAUAAAUCUAAGUAAGGAAGUAAAAGAUUUGUACUUGGAAAAUGAUAAGACAUUGGUGAAAGAAAUGGAAGAUAAUAUAAAGAGAAAGGUAUACCAUACUCAUGGAUGGAAGAACUAAUAUUGUUAAAAUGACAUACUACCCAAGGUGUCUACAUAUUCAAUUCAAUCCCUAUCAAAAUAUCAAUGGCAUUUUUCAUAGAACUACAACUAAUAAUUCCAAAAUUUGUAUGGAAACACAAAAGACCUCAAAUAGAUAGCUAAAACCAUCUUGAGAAAGAAGAACAAAGCUGGAGGUAUCAUGCUCCCUGAUUUCAAACUAUACUACAAAGCUGCAGUAAUCAAAACAGUAUGAGAUUAGCACAAAAACAGAUACAUAGAUCAAUGGUACAGAAUAAAGAGCCCAGAAAUGAACCCAUACUUAUAUGGGCAAUUAACCUAUGAUAAGGGGGGCAAGAAUAUACAGUGGGGGAAAAGAGAGCCUCUUCAAUAAAUGGUAUUGGAAAAACUGGACUACUCUCUCACACAUGUACAAAAAUAAAUUCAAAAUGAAUUAAAGACUUAAACUAAGACUCCAAGCCAUAAAAUUCUAGAGAAAAACAUGGGCAGUACACUGUUUGACAUCAGGUUUAGCAAUAUGUUUUUUGAAUAUGUCUUCUCAGGCAAGGGAAACAAAAGCAAAAGUAAACAAAUGGGACUACAUCAAAUUAAAAAGAUUUUGCAUAGGGAAAGAAACUAUCAAGAAAACAAAAAGACCACCUAGAGAAUGGAAGAAGAUAUUUGCAAAUGAUACAUUCAAUAGGGUUAAUAUUCAAAAUGUACAAAGUGCUUAUGAAACUCAACAUUAAAAAAACCAAGCAACCUGAUUAAAAAAUGGGCAGAAGAUCUGAAUAGACAUUUUUCCAAGGAAGACACGCAAAUGUCCAACAGGUACAUGAAAAUAUCCUCAACAUCCCAAAUCAUGAGGGAAAAACAAAUCAAAACCACAAUGCAAUAUCACCUCACACUUGUCAGAAUGGCUAUCAUCAAAAAGAAAACAAGUGUCGAUGAGGGUAUAGAGGAAAGAGAACACUUCUGAACUGUUGAUGGGAAUAUAAAUUUGUGUAGCCAUUAUGGAAAACAGUAUGGAGAUCCCUCAAAAAAGUAAAAAUAGAACUACCAUAUGAUCCAG
rnacentral:lncRNA from 1 species